AUACGACGUCAUCACGUCUACCCCAAGCCCGGCGAAAAACAGCACCAGCGCCGAUUAACGACGCAAAAAAAUGGAUAUUGAAUUUAUUUAUUUUUUAUUUACUUGUUAUUGGUGGAGGAGAGUCGGUUUAGACGGCUUCGGCGGCAGUAAAACUGGCGACAAAUUUUUCUCAGGCUGGAGGAGCGCAGUGGAGAGUCUGCCCUGGAGGAGGUUCUACCCGACCACGAUUACAUUUAGAUGGCAAGUAUAAUCACUUUUUAGCUUUUCUCAUGUAAGGGUUAUGAAAACAGUUGUAGUAAAGUCAUUUUCUGCGUCUUCUUCAACAUUUUUAGGAACAUGGCAGCCGUCGAUUGGGUCAGCCCUGCAAACCCUGAUAGACGAUGUGGUGAACAGUGGAGAGAGGCAUCCCCCACCCCCCAGAUGAUGUCCCACUCGCAGUCAGAAGACUCCAAGGUCAUCUGUGUGGCAUCCCAUCCAGUCCAGCAGCACCACCAGGGACUCCUGCUCAGU